rnacentral:lncRNA from 1 species
GCUGGACCCGGGAAACCGAAGAAGUUAGUGGGGGUUCACCAGUAGGAAUCGGUAUGAGGGAGAGCCUGGAGGAGGAAAUGGGGAAAGGGGAAAUGUUCAGAAGGAAUGGAGGACAGCGAGCAGGGUAUUCGGGGAUGGAGGACCAAGUGUGUUUCUUUGGGAAGUGCUGGCAUGUAGGGGUGUGUGCUGUGUACCUGUGUGAAGGAUGUACGCAGAAUGUAGAGUAUGGGGUACGUGAGGGUGGUGUGUACGUAUGUGUCCUGUGGCGGGGAGCGGUGUGCAUUCCGAGAUGUGCGCAGGGUGAACACAGUGUACGUGCAAUGUCCAGGCGUGUGGUGUGCAAGUGUGUGUCUGUGUGUUAUGUGGUGAAUGUGCAGGAAAGGUGUCGCCUUGAGGUGUGGGUA